rnacentral:rRNA from 1 species
GACGAACGCUGGCGGCGUGCCUAAUACAUGCAAGUCGAGCGAAGCGGCGGAUGGGUGAGUAACGCGUGGGUAACCUGCCCUUAAGUCUGGGAUACCAUUUGGAAACAGAUGCUAAUACCGGAUACUAAAGGAUGGACCUGCGAUGCAUUAGCUAGUUGGUAAGGUAACGGCUUACCAAGGCGAUGAUGCAUAGCGGAGUUGAGAGGCGGACGGCCAACAUUGGGACUGGGACACGGUCCGGACUCCUACGGGAGGCAGAAGAGGGGAAUAUUGCACAAUGGGGGAAAGCCGGAUGCAGCCAUGCCGCGGGUAUGAAGAAGGCCUUCGGGUUGUAAAGUACUUUCAGCGAGGAGGCGUUACUCGCAGAAGAAGCACCGGCUAACUCCGUGCCAGCAGCCGCGGUAAUAC